ensembl:lncRNA
CUCCUGCACAUCCAGUCCCACCUUCUUAGAGGACAAACGCAGAGGUCAACGCCAUUAACUAGAGCACGUGACCCAGGGGAACAGGAACAGCUCAGGCACGAGUGCUCCAGGCAGAGAAACAAUCACCGAUGCCCUCUGUGUUGCCAAGUUCCAUGGCUCUGACUCUACUGUCAUCUUCCCUAAACCGCUGAGGCUUUUAGUACCCUGGACCUCCUUGAAAACCUUUCUUCCCUCAGCUGUCAGGACUCCAGCGUCUCCUGGUUUUCUUCCCAUUCACUGUGGGGUCCUGCCUAAUCUGGUGUGAGUCUGUGUCUCUGGUUUCCUCUCCUUCUCCCCUUAAUGUCUCCC